UAUCUUUAGAUGGAAAAAUAGUGGCGAAAUACCUUUCGCGCUGACUGAUAGCUGGCUGUUUCGUAAAUAUAUUUAAGUAUAGGUUUCAUCAAGUAGGCUGGGGGAAUAAAACCCCCAGCCUUUGAUGGUAGCUCAGUCCCUUCAGGCUAAGCUGAAGGGAACAACUAAAGGCUUAUUAAUAAAAUAAAUGGAAAGUGGGCUUAAAGGAGCUAUCUUUUUAGAGUGGGUUAAUCCUCAAUAUUUUUUAUUAGUGAUCGUAUUUUAUUCCUUUUGUUUGAACGGAACCUCUUCACGAAACUAAAAUGUGAGGGUGAUAAUGUAAAGAUGAGUAGCUAAAUAUGUGGGGUUUGUUAAUUCGGGAAAUUAGACGUAAAACAAAUAAUCUUGAUAAGCAAAGCUAAAGGAACUCGGCAAAAAUGAAAACCGCCUGUUUAACAAAAACAUGGCUCCUUGAUAACAUAAGGAGUCGUGCCUUCCCGGUGAGUUUAAACUUAAACGG
rnacentral:rRNA from 1 species